AUUGAACGCUGGCGGCAUGCUUUACACAUGCAAGUCGAACGGUAACAGCACUUCGGUGGCUGACGAGUGGCGAACGGGUGAGUAAUACAUCGGAACGUGCCUAGUAGUGGGGGAUAACUACUCGAAAGAGUAGCUAAUACCGCAUGAGAUCUAAGGAUGAAAGCAGGGGGCCUUCGGGCCUUGCGCUACUAGAGCGGCUGAUGGCAGAUUAGGUAGUUGGUGGGAUAAAAGCUUACCAAGCCGACGAUCUGUAGCUGGUCUGAGAGGACGACCAGCCACACUGGGACUGAGACACGGCCCAGACUCCUACGGGAGGCAGCAGUGGGGAAUUUUGGACAAUGGGCGCAAGCCUGAUCCAGCAAUGCCGCGUGCAGGAUGAAGGCCUUCGGGUUGUAAACUGCUUUUGUACGGAACGAAAAGCCCUCUUCUAAUACAGGAGGGUCAUGACGGUACCGUAAGAAUAAGCACCGGCUAACUACGUG
rnacentral:rRNA from 1 species